GUUUGCAUUCGCUGGGAAUUACUCCUGCGUCGGCCGUGUGUCCUUGUGCGCUAUUUAGCAGGAGGCUACCUAGCCCCGACUGGCUGACUGAGCUGCCUCCUCUUUCGGCAGCGCUGUGUUAUUUGAUCCGCGCUCUUUCUUUGCUGGGAAGAAAAGCUCGACUCUUUCCCACGCUCUUUGAGCACGUGGUACGCCGAUGAAUUGGGCUCCGCAAGGGCCCUCCCCUCUCUCUAUUGAAACGUCACACUCCCCUCCGCAGAAUGCCACGGCUCUGACUCAAAGUGGGGUUGGGGGAGGGUGGAGGGGUGGGAAGGAGGGAGGCGGAGGGGUUGAAGGGGGGGGCGGGGGGUCUCCGCCGGGCCUCGCUCACUCGCUAGCGGCCAAGGCGCCAAAGCCCUCACACAAUCCUCAGACGAGCCUCAGAGGUCCCUCAGCGCUGCGUCUGGGUCUGCACUCUCUCUCUCUCUCUCUCUCUGUCUCUCUCUCUCUUUUUUUUCUUUUCUCUUUCUCGCUCGCUCACUUACACUCGUUUUCUCUCCCAGUUCUCAGUCAUACUCAUUUUUUUCUCUCUUUUUCUCAAACAAACACAAACUCGCAAGCUCUCCCCCCCCCCCCUCUCUCUCUUUCACACACACUAACACAGUCAUUCUUUCUCUCUCACACACGCACGCACUCUUUCUCCCUCCCUUUGAGUAACACCUCUACUGCGCUUCCCUGGAGCAAUGGCAUGUUUCUGCUCCUCUGCUCUGCUUUAUUGACAAGGGACAGAUUGUUUUUCUUUUUUCCACUUUGUCGUCUGGCCUUUCUGGUUAUGCUCAGGCUUCCCCCUUCAACCAAAACAAACAAAAAAAUUGACUAAUUAAAUAAACAAUAAAACUCUGUAUGACCAGUAUGACUUUCUAAUAGCCCCUUUUGGCACUGUAAAUGCGUUGCACAUGUUUGCAAUGCAACAGGUGUGCUGAGUUGUGCAUUUUUUAAUGCAGCACCAGACACCUAAUUUACACCGCAAGGGGAACGGUCUAGGAGAACGCUCUG
ensembl:lncRNA